UCCGUGGGGGGGUUCCAUUAUAAUGCAGUCGAGCGGACAGAUGGGAGCUUGCUCCCUGAUGUUAGCGGCGGACGGGUGAGUAACACGUGGGUAACCUGCCUGUAAGACUGGGAUAACUCCGGGAAACCGGGGCUAAUACCGGAUGGUUGUUUGAACCGCAUGGUUCAGACAUAAAAGGUGGCUUCGGCUACCACUUACAGAUGGACCCGCGGCGCAUUAGCUAGUUGGUGAGGUAACGGCUCACCAAGGCAACGAUGCGUAGCCGACCUGAGAGGGUGAUCGGCCACACUGGGACUGAGACACGGCCCAGACUCCUACGGGAGGCAGCAGUAGGGAAUCUUCCGCAAUGGACGAAAGUCUGACGGAGCAACGCCGCGUGAGUGAUGAAGGUUUUCGGAUCGUAAGCUCUGUUGUUAGGGAAGAACAAGUGCCGUUCAAAUAGGGCGGCACCUUGACGGUACCUAACCAGAAAGCCACGGCUAACUACGUGCCAGCAGCCGCGGUAAUACGUAGGUGGCAAGCGUUGUCCGGAAUUAUUGGGCGUAAAGGGCUCGCAGGCGGUUUCUUAAGUCUGAUGUGAAAGCCCCCGGCUCAACCGGGGAGGGUCAUUGGAAACUGGGGAACUUGAGUGCAGAAGAGGAGAGUGGAAUUCCACGUGUAGCGGUGAAAUGCGUAGAGAUGUGGAGGAACACCAGUGGCGAAAGGCGACUCUCUGGUCUGUAACUGACGCUGAGGAGCGAAAGCGUGGGGAGCGAACAGGAUUAGAUACUCUCGUGGUGUUGUUCAU
rnacentral:rRNA from 1 species